rnacentral:rRNA from 1 species
AGUGAACGCUGGCGGUAGGCCUAACACAUGCAAGUCGAACGGCAGCACAGUAAGAGCUUGCUCUUACGGGUGGCGGGUGGCGGACGGGUGAGGAAUACAUCGGAAUCUACUUUUUCGUGGGGGAUAACGUAGGGAAACUUACGCUAAUACCGCAUACGACCUACGGGUGAAAGCAGGGGAUCUUCGGACCUUGCGCGAUUGAAUGAGCCGAUGUCGGAUUAGCUAGUUGGCGGGGUAAAGGCCCACCAAGGCGACGAUCCGUAGCUGGUCGGAGAGGAUGAUCAGCCACACUGGAACUGAGACACGGUCCAGACUCCUACGGGAGGCAGCAGUGGGGAAUAUUGGACAAUGGGCGCAAGCCUGAUCCAGCCAUACCGCGUGGGUGAAGAAGGCCUUCGGGUUGUAAAGCCCUUUUGUUGGGAAAGAAAAGCAGCAGGUUAAUACCCCGCUGUUCUGACGGUACCCAAAGAAUAAGCACCGGCUAACUUCGUG